GGGAGAUUGGCGGUGGACGAGCCACUCGCCAACCGGGUCAGGUCCGGAAGGAAGCAGCCCUAACGAGGUCCGGAUCGGGUCGCUCGUCAGUCUCCUACCUGUUUU
rnacentral:SRP_RNA from 3 species